UGAACACAGAUUCCUUCAGUAAAUAUUGGGAAAACAUUUGCUUCAGGCCCAUUACUGGGUACCGCUUUGAUACAGAGGACACACCAAGGAACAAGACAGAUAGGACCUCUGCCUCUAGUAAGUUUGCAUUCCAGAGGGAGGAGAAGACAGUGAGCAAGCAAGCCAUCAAGACCAUGUCAGAUGAGAUGAAUAAAGUCAGAUAGCUUCCAAGGAGUGGAUGCUUAUGGAGAGAUCAC
rnacentral:antisense_RNA from 1 species